rnacentral:rRNA from 1 species
UCCAGACUCCUACGGGAGGCAGCAGUGGGGAAUAUUGCACAAUGGGGGAAACCCUGAUGCAGCAACGCCGCGUGAGUGAAGAAGUAUUUCGGUAUGUAAAGCUCUAUCAGCAGGGAAGAAGAAGGACGGUACCUGACUAAGAAGCCCCGGCUAACUACGUGCCAGCAGCCGCGGUAAUACGUAGGGGGCAAGCGUUAUCCGGAUUUACUGGGUGUAAAGGGGGCGCAGACGGCGAUGCAAGCCAGGAGUGAAAGCCCGGGGCCCAACCCCGGGACUGCUCUUGGAACUGCGUGGCUGGAGUGCAGGAGGGGCAGGCGGAAUUCCUGGUGUAGCGGUGAAAUGCGUAGAUAUCAGGAGGAACACCGGUGGCGAAGGCGGCCUGCUGGACUGCAACUGACGUUGAGGCCCGAAAGCGUGGGGAGCAAACAGGAUUAGAUACCCCCGUA